rnacentral:lncRNA from 1 species
AUCAAUCUCUUUUAAUACAAUGGUCAUGAGUUAGUCCCUCACCCCAUAUAAAAAUCAUUUUUGUCAUAUCCCUAACCCUAAAGACAAAGGCAGCCGCACCCAUAUCCUCUCCAAGACCACUCUGCUAAUCUAGACUCGCUGGAAUCGGCCGAGUUCGCUCGUUGGUGCCCCCUCUCCUCUCCUCUCCUUCUUCCACGUCACACACUCCGUACAAGCCUCAUCAUAUCCAUGAGAUUCACGCAUUUUCCUUUCUUUUUAGUAUGGAUUGAAACAAAUCCGAGACCCUUGAAUAAAUCUUGGCGAAAUGGGAACCGUUGGAUGAAGAUUUUUGUCCAAAGUCUCCAUUUUUCUGAUUUUUGUUUGUGAAAGGGGAUUUUCGGAAUUGAUUUGAGGGCAAAUUCGGGUUUUGGGGGAGUUUUCUUGGAGAAGAGGUUAGGAGCUUCUGGAUUUGAAUAUAAAAGGGGGAUUUCGGACAGAGGAGAAAAGGGAGAGAAAAUUGGAGAGGCGUCAAGCUAGGGUUUUAGUUCUGAUUUGGCGAUCUUCGUCUUCUAAUUUCAGUUCAUAUAAAGAACGUUAGAGUUUUUUUAGUUUGUUCUUUUGAUUUCCAAAAUAGAAAACAAAAAAAAAAGGAAUACUAGAUUCUUGACUUGGUCUUCAACUAUGGAGUUUGAUUGAGGUUUGUCGUGGAGUCGAGGUCAUUCGAGCUGUUCAUUAUUUCCAAAUCGAUGUUCAUUUGCGGUUCCGUUCGCGCCGAGCCAAUUCAGUCCAGUUUAUGUUCGAGUUCUAGUUGCUGUUUCGUUUGAUUUUGUUGCCGCACUUGCUUGUAUUCAACUUCCAGAAUUAAUUAAACUUUUCGCAUAUCAGGUUUAUCUCCCCCUACUAUAUUUCUGUGUUGUCGAUAUUAAUAUGACGAGAGCCAAAAUUUAACUGGUUCGGGGCUAUUUGAAACUUGGAUGUUAAGAAUUGAGUCGAGUAUGUUUCUUAGCUAUUCAUGAAAUCGUUUCAGUGUUCUAGGGAGUUAUUUAGAUCUGAAUGCCUAGUUUUUUGUGUGUUCGACUUGAAUUGGUUAAUCGUAUACAUAUUAAGCGAAACAUGAAUAAGUGGCUGAUUUGCUUGUGGUUAUUGUAGGUGUAUAUUUGUUGGCUUGAAGUUACUGAAUUCCUCCAUGACUUUCCUAGUUUGAUGAUUGCCCAGUUAAGUUAAUUAAGGUUCUAAAACAUGUCUUCAACUUGUUACAAACAGUUAUAAACAAUUUUCUAGAUCUCUUAGGGUAAUCAAAUGGUGAUUAUGUUUCAAUGCUAAGUUGAUGUUCAUGCCUAAGCAAUUUGAAUGAUCACAGGAACUAAGUUAAACUAGUUGUUCCAUUUCGUCUAUGUUAAUUCGGAAUGAAUCCUAGGAGUUAUCUGCCUGAAUUCUCUGUUCGAAUUUGAUUGUGCUCUAUUAUCUACUCUCAUACAGGGUGUCAUUCAGACAUGGAAAUGGUUACAGUGGA